CCUACGGGCGGCAGCAGUAAGGAAUCUUGCGCAAUGGGCGAAAGCCUGACGCAGCGACGCCGCGUGGGCGAUGAAGGCCUUCGGGUUGUAAAGCCCUUUUCUGGGGGACGAGGAAGGACGGUACCCCAGGAAUAAGUCACGGCUAACUACGUGCCAGCAGCCGCGGUAAAACGUAGGUGGCAAGCGUUAUCCGGAAUCACUGGGCGUAAAGGGCGUCUAGGCGGACGGGUAAGUCGUGCGUGAAAGCUUCCGGCGCAACCGGGAGAGGUCGUACGAUACUGCCUGUCUUGAGGGUCGGAGAGGGACGUGGAAUUCCCGGUGUAGCGGUAAAAUGCGUAGAGAUCAUGAAGACCACCGGUUGCGAAGGCGAUCAUCUGGCUCGUUACUGACGCUCAGGGACGAAAGCGUGGGGAGCAAACAGGAUUAGAUCCCCGGGUAGU
rnacentral:rRNA from 1 species